rnacentral:tRNA from 1 species
GGAGCGGUGUCCGAGUGGUUGAAGGAGGCGGUCUUGAAAACCGUUGAGCCCUCUGGGUUCCGGGGGUUCGAAUCCCCCCUGCUCCG